UACGGAGGGAGCUAGCGUUAUUCGGAAUUACUGGGCGUAAAGCGCACGUAGGCGGCUUUGUAAGUUAGAGGUGAAAGCCUGGAGCUCAACUCCAGAAUUGCCUUUAAGACUGCAUCGCUUGAAUCCAGGAGAGGUGAGUGGAAUUCCGAGUGUAGAGGUGAAAUUCGUAGAUAUUCGGAAGAACACCAGUGGCGAAGGCGGCUCACUGGAGCUGGUAUUGACGCUGAGGUGGCGAAAGCGUGGGGAGCAAACAGG
rnacentral:rRNA from 1 species